AAGUCGUAACAAGGUCUCCGUUGGUGAACCAGCGGAGGGAUCAUUACCGAGUUUACAACUCCCAAACCCCUGUGAACAUACCUAUUGUUGCCUCGGCGGUGCCUGUUCCGACAGCCCGCCAGAGGACCCCAAACCCUGAUUACAUUAAAGAAUUCUUCUGAGUAACCGAUUAAAUAAAUCAAAACUUUCAACAACGGAUCUCUUGGUUCUG
rnacentral:misc_RNA from 1 species